CCCUACACCCAAACAAGGGCACUGCGUUCAUCCACCUCUGGCCUGCUCGCCUCCCUACCACUGAGGAAGUACAGUUCCCGCGCAGCCCAGUCAAAACUGUUCGCUGCUCUGGCCCCCCAAUGGUGGAACAAACUCCCUCACGACGCCAGGACAGCGGAGUCAAUCACCACCUUCCGGAGACACCUGAAACCCCACCUCUUUCAGGAAUACCUAGGAUAGGAUAAAGUAAUCCUUCUCACCCCCCCCUUAAAAGAUUUAGAUGCACUAUUGUUAAGUGGCUGUUCCACUGGAUGUCUUAAGGUGAACGCACCAAUUUGUAAGUCGCUCUGGAUAAGAGCGUCUGCUAAAUGACUUAAAUGUAAAUGUUAAAUGGUGUGAUGUCUGUACAAAAACAGGCUAUUUUAAAUCACCCAUAUUGAAAGAAUGUAGAACAAUUAGACACCCUAUAACCCACACACUCGUAUCAAUCUGAUUAAUGGAUUGUGUUGUGCAGUAAGCAGGCUCAGGUGUAUAACUGCCUCCUUGCACCUUAAAAAAAUAGGCAAGAGGGCCAACCAUGGAGAAUAGUAAGACACUUCAUUAUUUCUAUAACUACGCUAUAUUGUUUGUUCAUGUUUUUCAGCAAAAGUACUCUGCAGCCACUUAGUGUGGUGUGGACACCAGGUUAUAUCAGCUGUGUCGGUGAACCCCUCCCUCAUCUGAACUGGCUACAUGGAGGGCACAGCAUGAUCAGAGAUGAGGUCACUUAGUCAGGUCAACAGGAAGUAUUAUUAAAGAGAUGCUUUACAUUGAAAUACAGAUAUAGAUGCAGUAGUCCCAGAGUUAAUGAUCCAAGGUCAGUUUUGCAUUUCACCUCCUGAUUAUUAUGACUAACAAGGUUAGAAUAAAAAAAUUAAAACACAAGGCUUAAACAUGCUAUCUGUCUCUAGUCUGCGGAUAUGUUUUGACGUGGGAGAGGAUGCCAACCCCCAGUCCCAUCUUGCCACCUCACCCGCUUUUAAGAUAACCUUCGGACUGUCUAGUUUCACUACUAUGUAAUUGUGAUGAACUGAGAGAAUAUUUGGGUUGCACUGUGAUUCAUUAAUCAUAUGCUGCCUUCCCUGCCCCGAUGUCUUACCUCUUUCCCUUUCUGUCUUUUACACCUCUCACCACCUCUCUUCCUGUUUUUAUAAUGCACAACAGAUGUGCAUUGAAGUACAGAUUGAACUUGUAUUUAUAAUAUGACAAUUAUAUUUAUAAUGCAUGUAUUUAUAACACUUGGAUAAUGAACUUCUUUCAAUAAAGCGUUUCACAUUC